UCGGUAAUCAUUUGCCCAAACAAAACAGCUGACACGUUUUCCUAUAUUUAUGGUAUGUCUACGGGAGCAUAACCAGGCCUUAAUUCCAAUUUUAUUAAAUUUUUGUAGUUAAAAUUUCAUGAAAUAUUUUCGGCGCUUUCCAUGAUAACCAUGUGGAUUACCACCGUGAUAAUCGUAAUGACCAUGAAAAUCGUAAUGUCCAUGUGGAGGUUGUGGUGGUGGCCCGUAUGCAGGAUAUAGUACAUGAUGAUCGUUGGGAACUUGUCCAUAGUAAACUCCAUGUGCAUGGGGUGGUGGCGGAACUCCAUGGUCAUAGUGUUCAUGAUGGUGAUAUUGGCACAUUGCAAUGCCAAAUAGUGUCAAAACGAGGAAUAGCUGGAAGAUGCAAUUUAAAUUGUCCCCAAAUUUAAUUCAGUCAAGGUUAAUCUACUUACAUAUAGUUGGCGCAUUUUAAAUAAUCGCUUAAGGGAUUUUCUUUGUUGAUGCGUUCGAGAAGACCACAAUUGAGCAACUGCAAGUCAUCUGCCAUCAUUUGUACCUUUCCAGCUACGAGUUUAAGGAAAACAAACAAAUUCAUUGGAAUAGCACUUUCGACAAAUUCGAGGAAAUUUGGAAAUGGGUGCCAGGGUUAAAAAUAAACAAAGGUUGUAAAAAUUUAA